rnacentral:rRNA from 1 species
GACGAACCGUGCGAACGUUGUUCGGAAUCACUGGGCUUGAAGGGCGCGUAGGCGGGCGACCAAGUCCGGGGUGAAAUCCCACGGCCCAACCGUGGAAGGGCCCCGGAUACUGGCCGCCUCGAGGGAGGUAGGGGCGUGUGGAACUUCCGGUGGAGCGGUGAAAUGCGUAGAGAUCGGAAGGAACGCCGGUGGCGAAAGCGACACGCUGGACCUCUUCUGACGCUGAGGCGCGAAAGCCAGGGGAGCAAACGGGG